rnacentral:rRNA from 1 species
UACGGAGGGUGCGAGCGUUGUCCGGAAUCACUGGGCGUAAAGGGCGCGUAGGCGGCCUGAUAAGUAGGGGGUGAAAUCCUGCGGCUUAACCGCAGGGCUGCCUUCUAAACUGUCAGGCUUGAGCACAGUAGAGGCAGGUGGAAUUCCCGGUGUAGCGGUGGAAUGCGUAGAGAUCGGGAAGAACAUCGGUGGCGAAAGCGCUCUGCUGGACUGCAACUGACACUCAGGGACGAAAGCUAGGGGAGCGAAUGGG